rnacentral:rRNA from 1 species
UACGGAGGGUGCAAGCGUUAUCCGGAUUCACUGGGUUUAAAGGGUGCGUAGGUGGGUUGGUAAGUCAGUGGUGAAAUCUCCGGGCUUAACUCGGAAACUGCCGUUGAUACUAUCAAUCUUGAAUGUUGUGGAGGUAAGCGGAAUAUGUCAUGUAGCGGUGAAAUGCUUAGAUAUGACAUAGAACACCGAUAGCGAAGGCAGCUUGCUACACAAUAAUUGACACUGAGGCACG